rnacentral:piRNA from 1 species
GAGGAUAUUGGGAGGAGUCCAAGGCUAUCCAC